UUUUGAGCAGACUAAGAUAUUUGUAUAUCUUGGAUAAAUCAUUAAAGUGAUACUAAAUGCUGGUAAUAACCGGGGCUAAUCAAGCAAGAUUAUGUCUUGCGUUAUCGUUAAUCCUGACCUGUCACUGGCUAUAAUUCUUGGACUUUAUUGCCGAUUAAUCUUUUGUAUCCAAGUGGUCCUUUCAACCUAACCCUUUCUCGUAUGUCUUUUCCAAAUAUUCCUUCAUUUUGACAGUUUAUAUCAUAUUGGGGAUAUUUGGCAUUUGUUUCUUUCGCGUUCCCACUUCUAAUACGGUUUCUUCCGUCACUGUAUUUGUUCCAUUCUGUAUUUCCCACGGAAUCUUCUGGAAAUAUAUUUGCUGCCUUUUUUAUCUGAAUUGGGAUGGAUCUACUCUUCUUUUGUGCUGAAAACGCUACCCUUGACUUGUAAUUAGUGGGAUUACUACUGGGGAUUGUAGGAAUAAUUGGAAUUUCUGAGUUAGUGAGAUUUAUUGAAAAUGCCUUUUUGCUUCCUAUAUAAUCUUCUCUUUUUAUACCUGUAAUAAUUGGUUUCAUAAAAAUUAAAUUAUUUGUUAUAGUCUUCUGAGCUAAUAUUUUUGAACUUUUUGAAAGCAAUAACUUGCCAGGAUUCCAUACACAAUAAUUAUUUCGACAAUCAUUUUUUAUAUCGUUUAUUUUGAUUAUGUCUUUAAGGAAUCCAUUACUGCAUAAUUUAGGCAAAUAUAAUUGAUUAAUACCUAAUCUUGAAUUGAAAGGAACAAAUUUUCUUUCUUGUGUUAUUGGGAAUGCCAAAUGAUUUCUUGAUAUACUGUUUCUCUUUGGAAUAAUUACUUUAUGCAUAGGC
rnacentral:antisense_RNA from 1 species